rnacentral:rRNA from 1 species
GAGUUUUAUAUUUAGUUUAAUUUUAAAAUUAUAUAAAAAUUUAUAUAAAAAUAAAUUAAAAUAUUGUAUUGGGGUGAUAGAAAAAUAAAAAAAACUUUUUUUAAAAAAUUAACAUAAAUAAAUGAUUAAAUGAUCCAUUAUUAAUGAUUAAAAGAAAAAAUUACCUUAGGGAUAACAGCGUAAUAUUUUUUUUUAGAACAAAUAAAAAAAAAGGAUUGC